AAAAUCAGCCUUGCUGAUCAUAGCUGGCUGUUGAAUCGAACUUGCUAAGAAUCAUUGUUAUCUCCAGAGCAAGAAUGCAUCCUUCCUGCAAUGCUACAACAACACAGAGUUGUACAGUAUGAACAUUGUGAAGAAAGAUUGAAUGAAAGGAAGGGCUGUUUGGGACCAACAUAGUGGUCCCAAACCACUAUGGUGGUUUUCACCGCAUAGUGGUGAACCACUAUGUUCACCACAUAGGUCAACAUAGUUCCUCUGACUCUACUACAUUUGGUGACUUUCAGACCAUGGAGUCUAGAGAUAAUUAUGCUUUUGUUCAUCAAAUUCAUCUUUAAAGGGAGGGGCAAUGCACUUUUCAGGCAUUACUGUUAGGUGGUAAAAAGGCACCCUACUUGUAAGGUGUACAGUAAGUCACUGUGGGCUCCUAUACAAACAUGACAGUUAUCUGCUACCUGCUGAUAUUUCUUUGUAACUGUAGCUCUCACCCUGCUCCUUAGGCAAAGAUAUAUUGCUGUCUCUGCUUACCUGUUUGCAAAGCCCUGGGAAACAAAAAGCUUCCUCUUCACAAUGUGCUAAUGGCUCACUAACUCUCAAAUCACUGCAGUUCCUUAACAAAGAAUAGCACAAUCCAGCAAUAAAGGAAAGUAAGUUUAUAGACAAAGUGUAAUUAGAACUGGCAAAGCUGCUCUUUGCUAUUCAGCAGCAUACUUGACUCUGUUUUCUCGUUGUUUACUUGUAGUCUUUAUUUGUCUGGAAGAAUAAAUCUGAAAGGGAAGAGGCACAGCAUUUUAUUCAGAAAAAAAUGACCCCAUGUUGACAUGUAGAAAUAAAAAGAACAGAAAUUGUUGAACACUGGAGAUCUGGACUGGGGUAAGAUAAUGCAACCCCUUGGCUUUAUCAUUAUUUUACUGAUCGAUACUCACAAGAUAGACUCCCAGGUAUACCCAAGCUUUGUGUUGAUGCCCCCCCCACAACUUUUUUUUUUUUUUUUUUUUUUUUUUUGCCAGGCUUGGUGAUAGCUUGUCCUCCAGGGUGUGAGACACUGGUGUCCAUGUGUCCCCAGCAGCUGUGUCUUGCAGAUGAGCAGAGACUACUAGGUGGGAGUGUGCUGUUGCCUUCCAGCCAUGGAGCCACCCCCUGGACAGCUGACCCGAGUUUAGUCAAAAGCCCAAGGGACAAGCUUUCAACUGGCAUAGUGUUAUAAAAGAUA
rnacentral:lncRNA from 1 species